rnacentral:rRNA from 1 species
CCUACGGUGGGCUGCAGUGAGGAAUAUUGGUCAAUGGGCGUAAGCCUGAACCAGCCAAGUCGCGUGAGGGAUGAAGGUUCUAUGGAUCGUAAACCUCUUUUAUAAGGGCAUAAAGUGUGGGACGUGUCCUGUUUUGUAUGUACCUUAUGAAUAAGGAUCGGCUAACUCCGUGCCAGCAGCCGCGGUAAUACGGCGGAUCCGAGCGUUAUCCGGAUUUAUUGGGUUUAAAGGGUGCGUAGGCGGCCUUUUAAGUCAGCGGUGAAAGUCUGUGGCUCAACCAUAGAAUUGCAGUUGAAACUGGGAGGCUUGAGUAUGUGUGAGGCAGGCGGAAUGCGUGGUGUAGCGGUGAAAUGCUUAGAGAUCACGCAGAACCCCGAUUGCGAAGGCAGCCUGCCAAGCCAUGACUGACGCUGAUGCACGAAAGCGUGGGGAUCAAACAGGAUUAGAUACCCUAGUAGUC